rnacentral:rRNA from 1 species
AUUGAACGCUGGCGGCAGGCCUAACACAUGCAAGUCGAACGAGUGGCGGACGGGUGAGUAAUGUCUGGGAAACUGCCCGAUGGAGGGGGAUAACUACUGGAAACGGUAGUUAAUACCGCAUACCAGCGGAUGUGCCGAGAUGGGAUUGUCUAGGCGGGGGGGUAACGGCUCACCUAGGCGACGAUCCCUAGCUGGUCUGAGAGGGUGACCAGCCAAACUGGAACUGAGACACGGUCCAGACUCCUACGGGAGGCAGCAGUGUGGAAUAUUGCACAAUGGGCGCAAGCCGGAUGCAGCCAUGCCGCGUGUAUGAAGAAGGCCUUCGGGUUGUAAAGUACUUUCAGCGAGGAGGCGUUACUCGCAGAAGAAGCACCGGCUAACUCCGUGCCAGCAGCCGCGGUAAUAC